GCCACUGCAGCGCCACGAAGUCCCCCGAGAAGCAGCACAGGGGCAGCGCCAGCAGCCACCAGCGGGUCGUGCCGCCGCCGUGCUCCCCGCGCCGGCCGCCGAGCAGGUAGCAGACCAGACCGCAUCGCACGACCAGGUUUAUUUGCACAGCUAAUACCUUUGGAAUGGAUCAAAACAAUAAUUUUGGAACGGAUCGGUGGAAGUGUUUAGACUGCUGUAAAGGAAAAUAGGCAGCUAAUGGGAUUUUGAGUAAUGCCUUUGCUCAUUCAUUCUGUUUGUUUGUUUCUGGAAAAGUAACUGCUAAGCACUUCUGAAAUUUAUUAUAAUUGUGCGUGUUUACCUUGUUACUUAGAACAAAGGUCCUUUGAGCCAUGUUUCCACAUAAUAUUGUAUUGCUUUACUUACACUGGUUCAGAAAACAGUUCGGGUAAGGCAGUGGCUGCACUUUUUGCCUUUUUUUACUGAAACAAGGAACUGUUGAAAUGAUUUGGUCCCAUUGCUUGUGAUUGGCUCCCUUUGAGCAGCCCCCGAGUUGCAGCCGGUUUGUGGAAGCUGUGGGGUGGCAGGAAGUGCUGCCACAGGACACGGGCCUGGCCAUGAACAGAAAUCAUCAAGCGUGAUUCCUGACACAAAAUGCAGCAUGCAAUGGCAAACCGAAUAACUCCUGUACGUGGGAGAGAAGUAAGCAAUGACUUAUUUUUUAAAAGGCAGAUCAAUCUGGUGGAAUUUUGAUACCAUAAUGCAUCUUCCUCUCUUAGAGAUUACACUCUUUUUCCAAAAACAAGAAAAAAAAUCUCUCCUGGCUUGGUACACUAAACAAAGAUUCUGUGCCAUCAUACUGGUUCUAAAAAGUUUUAGAAAAAGGAAAAUGUGUAGUUCCUUUGGGAUUAUAUUCUUACAUUUUCUUGUGUUUAUAUGUUAGUGAUAUCAAUUGGACCACAAUCAGGUAUACUUGUAAUUGCUCUUAAGGCUGAGAAAUACCUUGCUUUUAUGCAUAUUCUUUUUUUUUUUUUUUUUAAAUUAUCUUGAAUUCAGCUAUAAAUAAAUGCAUUCCAGAAAUAAUUCGCUGGUGUAAUCUUCUUUAAAACACAUUUGGGGAUACUUGCAGCAGUGGAACUAGGAAGUGCCUGAGGAAGAGCACAGAGAUAGGACAUCACAUGAUCCCUAAAUGCCAUGGAUGCAACCAUCUGUGACUUCAACACUUCCUGAAUCAGAAGUGGUGUCUUAUUCUUGACAGUUCUUAGUGGGUUUUUAAUCAAAAAAUUUGCCCAGUUUGUUUUUUUUUUUAAGUCCACAUAGGUUUUUUUAGCAUUAGCACAGUAGUACAAGAAAAGGUCAUUACUCAAUGCAACAUGACUAUGCAAAUGUGAAAUAAGUUUCUUUUUAAAGUUUCCUAUUUGUCUUAAUUGAUAUUCUUUUCAUUUUGAUAGAAACAAUGAACAGUUGCUCUCUAGUCACCAUGUCUCUUCAAUUCACGAUAUUACAUCUUUCCUCAGUCUUGCAUUUAUUUUCUAAACUGAAGAGUUUGAACAUAUUUUUUUUCAGAUUAUUUUCAUGUCACUGGGUUUUUUUUCUUUUUUUGAGCACUACUAUAUGCUUUUGGAGUAGAGAAGAUCAGGAGUUACACCCAGUAUUCAAGACAGAAACACAGUCCAAAUAAUGGGUUUUUUCCUUGUAAUUCCUGUCUCUCAUUUGUUUUGCUUUGCUAGGGAAGUGAGACGGCAGAUAAACUGAGCACUGUUGAAAGUGGUUCUGUUGAACAUUGAACACUGUUUUCACAAUGUUAAGUAUAUAGAUCCCAGACUUUGUGUUCUGAUUGUUAACAUCUACAUCCACUAGAUAAUUUUAUAGGUAAGAUUAGGAUUUUUUUUCUGUGUUUACAUUACAGUUAUCUACAGUACAUUUCACCUGCCUAUGAACUCAGUGUUGUGAGGAUUUAAGCACAUUCCCUCAGUCAGUUCUAUCUUUACUCUCAGUAACUUUGUAUUAACAGUAUACUUUACCACCUUCCCAUCCUUUUUCAGCUCAUUUAUCGUUAAUUAAUUAGCUUAAUUUCAGUGAUAUGUGUGCUGAAGAAAUGUAUACAUUCCAAAAUGUAAUAUAUAAAUGGAAUAUAGUUGGUCUUUAGUAA